AGGCAAUCCCUAAAUUAAUAAAACUGUAAAUUUUACCAAAUUUAGAUCAUAUAAUAUUGCU
rnacentral:tRNA from 2 species